rnacentral:rRNA from 1 species
GCAGAACGCGAAGAACCUUACCUGGGCUAGAAAGCGUAAGAACCUUGGUGAAAACUGAGGGUGCCCUUCGGGGAACUUACGAUUAGGUGCUGCAUGGCUGUCGUCAGCUCGUGUCGUGAGAUGUUGGGUUAAGUCCCGCAACGAGCGCAACCCUUGUUGUUAGUUGCCAGCAUUAAGUUGGGCACUCUAACAAGACUGCCGACCUUUAAGUCGGAGGAAGGUGGGGAUGACGUCAAGUCCUCAUGGCCCUUACGUCCAGGGCUACACACGUGCUACAAUGACCGGUACAAAGGGUUGCCAAACCGCGAGGUGGAGCCAAUCCCAAAAAGCCGGCCUCAGUACGGAUAAGAGUCUGCAACUCG